ensembl:lncRNA
AACAAACUAAAAAAAUAUGUAUACCUUCAUAAUACUAAAACAGCUAUUUUAUUUCUUGCUGGUAGGCCUUUGUGUGAAUUUUGGUUUUGUCUCUUUGGUUGCUUAUAUUUUAUAAGUUUUUGACAAUAAACUAUAAAAUAAAUACGGACAGGGUGAGAUUUAGAAUUUUAUUUUGAUGUCUCCACUGUACACCUUGGUGUUGAUAUAAAGCUGGUUGUAUUUACCAUCAUAAUUAGUUCUAUACAUUUUGCCCCUCAGUCAUCUCCACUUAACAAUUCUUAUCCCAACUAGCCAGACCUUAUAAUUAAAGAUGGCUGCCAUUUGAUCAGCUGAUCAUUUAAGUUACUCUUUCUGCUGCUGUUUAUAAUUAGGCCCCUUAAACUAACUUGUCAUUGACAUUUAUUAUUCUGGUAUUUUUUCAAAGUUCAUUAAAUUAUUAAUUAUUCUGACUUUGCAGUGUGGUUUCCCAUGUCCUGAGCCAUGAGAUUCCAGUUUAUCCACUGGUCUUCAAGCCGUAUCUCCUCAAAGCAACACAGUGAUUCAACUCAACAGUUAUCACUUGGGAUCCAACAAGCACAAUCAUAGGAGAAAAGUGGCCACAAAGUUCCAUUUAUUAUCAAAGGUGCUGCUGCUGUCAAACGUACACUUCUCAAUUGUGGCAACGAGACACACCCUGGAAAGAGAGAGUUUUACACUUUUGCAAGAAAACAGAGAAACCAAGAUGUCUUGUAAUAUCUCAUACACAUCAUGAAAAACGUGUCCUAACCUUGAGAGCCCAACUUAGGAGCAAGCAGGAACAUGCUGUGAAGACUCGGAGAAGCGGGUCCAUCCGGAUCCACUUUCCCCCUUUUUUUCCAAACGGACCCCUGAGCCUUUGAGCUACUACACACAACUAAGCUUCACACCUGAGUCUCCCAUCACCACCUGCUCUCGGUACUUCAGGCUCAAAUUUUCCGACAUCAAAUUCUUCACCAAGAACCUUCUCGUGGCCCAUUCUCCAAGAGCACCUUCUCUAAGGCGCGUUCUCUAGCGGUAGGAACCAAUUCUGCCAAGCCAUCUUGUUCAUUAACCUUGAACGUGAUAUCCAUCCUGGGGACCUGCUUUGUGUGUAACAAGUGAAUUUCGGAAGAUACCAUCUUAUGUGAAAGGAACAAUUUCAGUUGCAGAAAUGUCAUACCUAAUGGCAAGCUGGCAGACAAGAUCACUUGUUGACAACACUCUGAGGACCUGCAGAAUCACACCGUACAGAGAGCUGCCCACCUUGCCCUGGCCUGGAUUCUGUGCCGUGGGAGAGGAUAUGCUUUUACUCUGUCGUAAGUUCCUGGUAUGGUAGUUCUGUCAAAGGAAAAUGGGCCACUGUGCUGAUACUUUCGUCACAUGUCUCAAGACUGUGGAAGUAUGAGACUGAACUGAGGGUGAGGUAUCCAGGACUUUACCCAGGACUUUACGAACAAAAAUAGAAAACAAUAUCUUAGUACACAAAUGCUCUCAAUUUUGGUUCCCUCUCUCUCUCUUUCCUCUCAAAUCUCUGAAACACUUUCAAAGUUGUUUUCAAACACUUUCAAUGACAAAUGACAACUCAAUGAUAAAUUGAGUGCUAAAUUGAUACAUGUGGGCAUUCAAUCAUUUGCUAAUUAAAUUUUAGCUAUGUAAGCAUUUAUUUAAUCAGUGCUUCUUGAGCAUCUACUAUACACUAGGCAGCGUUCUGCUCAUUGAG